UACGGAGGGUGCAAGCGUUAUCCGGAUUCACUGGGUUUAAAGGGUGCGUAGGAGGGCAGGUAAGUCAGUGGUGAAAUCCUGGGGCUUAACCCCAGACUGCCGUUGAUACUAUCGGAUCUUGAAUGUCGUGGAGGUGAGCGGAAUAUGGUCAUGUAGCGGAUGAAAUGCUUAGAUAUGACAUAGAACACCAAUUGCGAAGGCAGCUUGCUAACACGGAUAUUGGACUCUGA
rnacentral:rRNA from 1 species